rnacentral:rRNA from 1 species
UAGGGAAUCUUGCGCAAUGGGCGAAAGCCUGACGCAGCGACGCCGCGUGAGGGAAGAAGGCCUUCGGGUCGUAAACCUCUGUCCUUGGGGACGAUGAUGACGGUACCCAAGGAGGAAGCCCCGGCUAACUACGUGCCAGCAGCCGCGGUAAUACGUAGGGGGCGAGCGUUGUCCGGAAUCACUGGGCGUAAAGGGUGCGUAGGCGGCUUGGCAAGUCCUGUGUGAAAGGUCGCGGCUCAACCGCGGUGGGUCAUGGGAAACUGCCAAGCUCGAGUGCCGGAGAGGAUAGCGGAAUUCCCGGUGUAGCGGUGAAAUGCGUAGAGAUCGGGAGGAACACCAGUGGCGAAGGCGGCUAUCUGGAAGGUCACUGACGCUGAGGCACGACAGCUGGGGGAGCAAACAGG